rnacentral:rRNA from 1 species
UACGUAGGGGGCAAGCGUUGUCCGGAUUUAUUGGGCGUAAAGAGCGUGUAGGCGGCCAUGCAGGUCCGUUGUGAAAACUCGAGGCUCAACCUCGAGACGUCGAUGGAAACCUCAUGGCUAGAGUCCGGAAGAGGAGAGCGGAAUUCCUGGUGUAGCGGUGAAAUGCGCAGAUAUCAGGAAGAACACCCGUGGCGAAGGCGGCUCUCUGGGACGGUACUGACGCUGAGGAGCGAAAGCGUGGGGAGCGAACAGG